GAUGAAGAACGUAGCGAAAUGCGAUAAGUAAUGUGAAUUGCAGAAUUCAGUGAAUCAUCGAAUCUUUGAACGCACAUUGCGCCCUCUGGUAUUCCGGGGGGCAUGCCUGUUCGAGCGUCAUUAUAACCACUCAAGCUCUCGCUUGGUAUUGGAGUUCGCGAUCUCGCGGCUCCUAAAAUCAGUGGCGGUGCCUGUCGGCUCUACGCGUAGUAAUACUCCUCGCGAUUGAGUCCGGUAGGUUUACUUGCCAGCAACCCCCAAUUUUUACAGGUUGACCUCGGAUCAGGUAGGGAUACCCGCUGAACUUAAGCAUAUAAUAAGCGGAGGA
rnacentral:misc_RNA from 1 species